GUCCUUCCUCGUUCUAUACUCACUCUCUUCUUUUUCCUUCCUCCCUCUCUUUGUGGAAUGUACUGUUCAGAAGCAGCUGAGUGGAGGAAUGUUGCUGUAACAAGCCCAUACAACAACCCCAAGAUCUCCAGAAGGAUGACCGUCUCUUUGUCUGACCAAGGGACUUUCCUCCUGUCCUCCUGAAUUUCCACAGCAGACUCUGAAGAGGCAGAAAUAAAAGAAAAUGUUUCCAGCUCUAGCCUGCAGCUGCCAACUGCCAGAGUCCCUCGUCUCCCUCAGUCCUUGCCUGAUCGGCUCGGAGCUCCUCCUUGACUUCUCCGUGCUGCUUGCGUUGACGGGAGCACUGAGAAGUCCUUUGUGGUCGGAGUCUUUGAGAGCAGGUGAGCAGGAGGCUGUUUCCAUGACAGUUUUGGUCCCAGGAGGCAGUGACAGGGAGCUGAUGGCGACAGAUGGCUGUCCUCUCAGGGCCUGGUUCUGCCGGAGGUUUCUUCCUGUUGAAGAGAAGUUUUUUCUCUCCAUUGUUGUCAAACGCUUGCUCACAAAGGGACUGGACUUCUCUCUAUAAUAGUGUAAAGCCUUUACCACAGAAUCUAAAGCGCCUUGAGAAUAACUAUGGCUUGCAUAAAUAAAACUGA